UGAGUAAUGCCUAGGAAUCUGCCUGGUAGUGGGGGACAACGUUUCGAAAGGAACGCUAAUACCGCAUACGUCCUACGGGAGAAAGCAGGGGACCUUCGGGCCUUGCGCUAUCAGAUGAGCCUAGGUCGGAUUAGCUAGUUGGUGAGGUAAUGGCUCACCAAGGCUACGAUCCGUAACUGGUCUGAGAGGAUGAUCAGUCACACUGGAACUGAGACACGGUCCAGACUCCUACGGGAGGCAGCAGUGGGGAAUAUUGGACAAUGGGCGAAAGCCUGAUCCAGCCAUGCCGCGUGUGUGAAGAAGGUCUUAGGAUCGUAAAGCACUUUAAGUUGGGAGGAAGGGCAGUAACUUAAUACGUUGCUGUUUUGACGUUACCGACAGAAUAAGCACCGGCUAACUCUGUGCCAGCAGCCGCGGUAAUACAGAGGGUGCAAGCGUUAAUCGGAAUUACUGGGCGUAAAACGAC
rnacentral:rRNA from 1 species